rnacentral:rRNA from 2 species
GAGUGCUAGGUGUUGGAGGGUUUCCGCCCUUCAGUGCCGGAGCUAACGCAUUAAGCACUCCGCCUGGGGAGUACGACCGCAAGGUUGAAACUCAAAGGAAUUGACGGGGGCCCGCACAAGCGGUGGAGCAUGUGGUUUAAUUCGAAGCUACGCGAAGAACCUUACCAGGUCUUGACAUCUUGCGCUAACCUUAGAGAUAAGGCGUUCCCUUCAGGGACGCAAUGACAGGUGGUGCAUGGUCGUCGUCAGCUCGUGUCGUGAGAUGUUGGGUUAAGUCCCGCAACGAGCGCAACCCUUGUUACUAGUUGCCAGCAUUGAGUUGGGCACUCUAGUGAGACUGCCGGUGACAAACCGGAGGAAGGUGGGGACGACGUCAGAUCAUCAUGCCCCUUAUGACCUGGGCUACACACGUGCUACAAUGGACGGUACAACGAGUCGCAAACUCGCGAGAGUAAGCUAAUCUCUUAAAGCCGUUCUCAGUUCGGACUGUAGGCUGCAACUCGCCUACACGAAGUCGGAAUCGCUAGUAAUCGCGGAUCAGCAUGCCGCGGUGAAUACGUUCCCGGGCCUUGUACACACCGCCCGUCACACCAUGGGAGUUGUAACGCCCAAAGUCGGUGGCCUAACCUUU